rnacentral:antisense_RNA from 1 species
CUAGCGGCUGCAGAGUGGAAAAUGGCGGCCUCCUUGCUGCUUGCGUUACCAGAGUCCACCCGGCCUCGUGCUUUCUCCGGGCGCCCGUAGCUGGCGCCGGCAUCCACAAAAAUAGAUCAGAUAGAGGAUGAAUAAAGAGGAAGCUCCAGGCUGUGAAGUGUCUAAUCCUUGCUCCCCUCAGAAGUUGGGACAUGUUGGACCAAGGUGGUAAGGAUAGUGAGUUUCCCAGAAGCUGGACAAGCCACGACGGCGCCUUCCAAUAAAAGGGGAACUCCAGAGACGCUAUGAGAAAAGAGGAACAGACAUCUGCAAUAGAUAUCUGCAACUUCCUUUUCAAAAACACCAUCGGCAUUGCUUUCUCAGGAAGCCACUGCCAGCCUAUUGUGAUAGCUGACACUGAGUUCCUGAAAAUUCUCUAAUUAGGAUCCCAGACUGGAGGGUCAGCCAGUGGUUAACAUAUAAUGGACACAAAACUGAUUUUACUGGAAGACUGAGGGUGGGCACUCACUAUGGUUCUAAGCAUUACUCAGAAGAUCCAUAAAAACAUUACAGUUCUGUUGUGUAAGAGUUUAGGAAAAAAAGAAAAUCCUGACAAAAAUCCCAACCUAAAAAACAGUGUCAACAUUUGUAAGUAGGAUGGGGAGGCAGAGAUGAAUUGGCGGCGUUAUCACAGCUACUGGACUAUGUGGACUUUAACAAAGUAAGAAACGGGUGGGGGUUGGGUGGUGGUAUCCUAAUAGAGCAGGAGUAGAGAUGGAUGUGCUGGGGCAGAAUGGGUACCAAUGCUGCCUGAAGCCUGGAGCUGGGAGCUGAGGACUAAGAGGUAGACAGGAGGGUGGGGACCCGUACCUGCUCCAAGGAACUGGUGCCCCAGAACUGGUGAACUGGGGUAUGCAUUUAGCUCAUUCGUUUACCAGAAUGCAGUCACCACCUGAUGAAAGAAAUGACUAAUGGCAGGACUUGAACAGUUCUCUAUAAAUGAGUACCUGGGAGAAAAACAGGUCUCCAGGCUCCACAAUACCCAACAAACACACUGCCUUUAGCCCAUUUCAAGCUGCACUUCUUACACGGAACCCAACCCAACCAACCUCAGAGGUAAGGGUGAGAGCAGGCAAUGAACAGCUAUGAUUCUCCAUUCCCUGGCCAGGCAGGGAGCCUUUCCAUCCACCCUCGUGAGACUGCUUGUAACAGAAAUAAGGAAACCAACUCCAAGGCUCAGUAACCCACCCAAGGUCAGAACCACUGAGUGGCAGGGCCUGUGAGCCACAAAGGAGACUGAAAACCAGAAAGAGCUUCUCUCUGGUCUGUUAUUUUAAGAAAAACAUGCCCAGAGGGGCCACCUGGAAGCAAGGCUGUGGCACCCUCACCUUCCUAAUUAAACAACAACUUCCCAGGAGCAACAACAGCAACAAAAGCCUGGCCCAGCAGAUGAACUGGAAUCCAAGCCUUUCCCCUAUACGGGUCAGUUUCGGCACUAACACCUACUUAGUUUGGGUACUACUUUACCUGCUGUGAAGUCUACUGGGAUCUUCCAGGAAAGUCCUACCUCAUUAGUAAAAAGAAAAACAAAGACUCAGGAAGAAAGUUCCUGCCCUCCCUGUUGAAUGCUGUGUGAGGAUAAGAUGUCUGGAGCAUGGCAGUCACCCUGUGACUAUCAGAAGGCCAGGCGUACCACAAGGUGGUCAUUCCAGUGCUCUGAAUCAGCCCCAAACCACUUCCCUCAAGACUCAUGUUCUGAGGUGAUUAAAAGUGUGCUUUGAAGGUAAAUCUAGGAUGACAGUCAACAGAUCAGUGAUUGCCAGGAGUCAGGGGUAGAGGGAGGGAAGAACAGAUGGAGCACAGAGAAUUUUUAGGGCAGUGAAAAUGUUCUGUAUGAUACUAUAUAUAAUGGAUACAUGCCAUUAUACACUUGUCCAAACGCACAGAAUGUACACCACCAAGAGUGAACCCUAAUGUAAACUAUGGACUUUGGGUGAUCAUGAUGUGUCAAUGCAGGUUCGUCAAUUGCAACACACGUACCAUUCUAGUGGAGGGUGUUGAUAACAGGAGGCUAUGCAUGUGUGGGACCAGGGGAUAUAGGGGAAAUCUCUGUACAUGCCUCUCAAUUUUGCUGAGAAUCUGAAACUGCUCUUAAUAAAGUCUUACAAAAAUAAAGAAGUCUGCUUUGCCUU